UAAUUGCUCAGUAUUAUUAUAUUAUUUAUUCUAUGAUAAAUUUAUAACAUUAAAAAAAUUCGUGCCCUCAAUCGAGAUACACAUGUUCUCUCUCUAAGGAGUCUGAAACCACGCAUCCCUCUCUACUACCCCCAACAUAAAUCGCUCUUCAAACCGCUCCCAUCAAAUUUCAACGCUCUCUUGCUCUCAUCGAAAACUUAGAACAAAAUUGGGAAUCCCGCUUUCGAUCUCUCAAUCGAUUUCAUCAUCAAUCUGCUCCUUCAAUCCUCCCGCUGAUCUCUAGUCUCUCGUCGAUCAAUAUGUCUCUGAUCUAUGCAGAUUUAGUUCCAUGCCGCAUCAUCACAUCUAUUCUCUUAUUGAUCUCGUCUAUGCCUUGAUCAAUCCUACAACUAGAAAUGAUGCGGGUAAGACACUAUCUUUUGGAAAUGGAAGAUUAGAUGAUGGAAAGGCUUGAGAUGAGCUUGGUUUUGAGAUUGUCAGUUGCUCAGGAAGAAGAAUAAUCUAUGACCCUCUGUUGGAACCAUCAUUGGCUACUGAAAAAUGUGAAAUUAGAGUUUUUCAACUAGUUCACAAAGAAAGCUUUGAAACAAGGAUAUGAAGAAGAACUAAUAUUUAUGCUCGGCACAAGUCAUGAUUUUAUUUGUCAAAUGUAUAAAUUUUAAUUUUAAUGGGAAUAAAAUUGUUUUUUAUUUUUUAGUUUUUA